GGACCAGUGGCCUAGCUUGGAUAAGGCGACAGCCUCCUAAGUUGUAGAUCGUGAGUUCGAAUCUCACCUGGUCCG
rnacentral:tRNA from 1 species